rnacentral:rRNA from 1 species
GACGAACGCUGGCGGCGUGCUUAACACAUGCAAGUCGAGCGGUAAGGCCCUUUCGGGGUACGACGAGCGGCGAACGGGUGAGUAACACGUGGGUGACCUGCCCUCAGCUCUGGGAUAAGCCUGGGAAACCGGGUACUAAUACCGGAUAUGACUCCAUGACGCAUGUUGUGGGGUGGAAAGCCUUGUGCGGCUGAGGAUGGGCCCGCGGCCUAUCGGCUUGUUGGUGGGGUGAUGGCCACCAAGGCGACGACGGGUAGCCGGCCUGAGAGGGCGACCGGCCACACUGGGACUGAGACACGGCCCAGACUCCUACGGGAGGGCAGCAGUGGGGAAGUCUUGCGCAAUGGGCGAAAGCCUGACGCAGCGACGCCGCGUGAGGGAU